UUUACGGAGAGUUUGAUCCUGGCUCAGGACGAACGCUGGCGGCGUGCCUAAUACAUGCAAGUCGAACGAGGACCAGGUGCUUGCACCUGGAACCGAGUGGCGAACGGGUGAGUAACACGUGACCAACCUGCCGUCAGGUGGGGGACAACCUGGGGAAACCCGGGCUAAUACCGCAUGAUAUCCGCGUCCCGCAUGGGAUGCGGACCAAAGGGGGCCUCUGCUUGCAAGCUCCCGCCAGGCGAGGGGGUCGCGGCGUAUCAGCUUGUUGGUGAGGUAACGGCUCACCAAGGCGAUGACGCGUAGUGGGUCUGAGAGGACGACCCGCCACAUUGGGACUGAGAUACGGCCCAGACUCCUACGGGAGGCAGCAGUAGGGAAUAUUGCGCAAUGGCCGCAAGGCUGACGCAGCGACGCCGCGUGUGGGAGGGAGCCCUUCGGGGUGUAAACCACUGUCAGGGGGGAAGAACUUCGUGGGCGUGAACAGCGUUCGCGGUUGACGGUACCCCCAGAGGAAGCGCCGGCUAACUCCGUGCCAGCAGCCGCGGUAAGACGGAGGGCG
rnacentral:rRNA from 1 species